AGCUCCAAUAGCGUAUAUUAAAGUUGUUGCAGUUAAAAAGCUCGUAGUUGGAUCUGAGGACUGGAGUCGGUGGUGCGAUAACAUCGCAACUGCUGACUCCACCUACAUAGACGGUGCUUGGCCCUGGUGCUCUUAACUGAGUGCCUUGGCUGCCCGUCAAGUUUACUUUGAAAAAAUUAGAGUGCUCAAAGCAGGCGAUUUGCUUGAAUAUUGGUGCAUGGAAUAAUGGAAUAGGACUUCGGUUCUAUUUUGUUGGUUUUCGGAAGCCGAGGUAAUGAUUAAGAGAGACAGACGGGGGCAUUCGUAUUGUGGUGUUAGAGGUGAAAUUCUUGGAUCGCCGCAAGACGAACAACUGCGAAAGCAUUUGCCAAGCAUGUUUUCAUUAAUCAAGAACGAAAGU
rnacentral:rRNA from 1 species